rnacentral:misc_RNA from 1 species
GAUGAAGAACGUAGCGAAAUGCGAUAAGUAGUGUGAAUUGCAGAAUUCCGUGAAUCAUCGAAUCUUUGAACGCACAUUGCGCCUUCUGGUAUUCCGGAAGGCAUGCCUGUUCGAGAGUCAUUAACAACCGUUUCGAUCCCUUUCUUUCAGAAAUUACAAAGAGGAAAAGGGUUUGGUUAUGGUGGAGGAGGGAAAGGGAGCGUUUAGCCUGUAAAAAAAGAGGUUGUGUUCCGCCUCCCCCCCAAAAUUGUACAGGCGGUCGUGUGCGCCCACGCAUCGAGGUGUUGUAAAAGCUGCCACGGCACUUUUCACCUGUGCAGUGCGAGAUUGGCCAGCCGGUUUAAAAACCCCUCCAAACAAUCAAAGGUUGACCUCGGAUCAGGUAGGGAUACCCGCUGAACUUAAGCAUAUCAAUAAGCGGAGGA